GGAAGCAGGGCAGCCCGGACCGGCUGUGGGUAGGAGGGAAACGAAGAAUUUUCCCCCCCGUCUCAACCGGAAGGGCUUCUCAUCUUUUACGGCUGCCCCAAUGUAGAUUUUUCAUCAUGUAUCUAGACCAAAAGCAUAGCUUUCUGUGCGCGUGACUGGAAAGGGGAAGGUGGAAUGCAAUAAAAUAGCGCCGUAAAAAUAAAAAUAGCAAUAGUUUUCAAAAGUAUCGGUGGUCACCAAGUAGGCACCGCUGGGAAACUGAAACCCCGCCGUGAGCGUAAGCGGGCAUGGUCAGCUCCGUCGCGAAAUAAAGAAGUAUCUUGGAUAAUAUUCCUGUUUCUGUGAAGAACGUGGGUGGCCAAAGCUGAGAAAGAGUGUUCCAUGGGAAUAGUUGAGAGUUUUAUGUACAAGAGUGCCUGCAAGAGAUUUUUCUCACUGAUGUGACUGCCAAAAUCGGAUCCAACAAGGCAAUUCUUAGGAUACAAUAUCUUCGGCGAUGAAUUAAGUGAGGAGGAAGAGGAAGGAGAAUCAAGGAGGAAUAGAAGAAGGAGAGGACUCAGAGACUAACUCCUCUUAUCCGGAUGUGAAGAAACAAGAUAAAUAGAAGAAUGAUUCUUACAAGGGACUUCUGCCGAAGAUAUAGAAACUGUAUAUGAACUUAUGGAGAGGGGUUGGAGGGCAA